GACAGAGGGUGCAAACGUUGUUCGGAAUUACUGGGCGUAAAGCGCGUGUAGGCGGCUCGGCAAGUCGGGUGUGAAAGCCCUGGGCUUAACCUAGGAAGUGCACUCGAAACUGCCAAGCUUGAGUUCUGGAGAGGAAGGCGGAAUUCUCGGUGUAGAGGUGAAAUUCGUAGAUAUCGAGAGGAACACCGGUGGCGAAGGCGGCCUUCUGGACAGCAACUGGACGCUGAGACGCGAAAGCGUGGGGAGCAAAC
rnacentral:rRNA from 1 species